GAUGAACGCUGGCGGCGUGCCUAAUACAUGCAAGUCGAGCGAACGGACGAGAAGCUUGCUUCUCUGAUGUUAGCGGCGGACGGGUGAGUAACACGUGGAUAACCUACCUAUAAGACUGGGAUAACUUCGGGAAACCGGAGCUAAUACCGGAUAAUAUUUUGAACCGCAUGGUUCAAAAGUGAAGGGCGGUCUUGCUGUCACUUAUAGAUGGAUCCGCGCUGCAUUAGCUAGUUGGUAAGGUAACGGCUUACCAAGGCAACGAUGCAUAGCCGACCUGAGAGGGUGAUCGGCCACACUGGAACUGAGACACGGUCCAGACUCCUACGGGAGGCAGCAGUAGGGAAUCUUCCGCAAUGGGCGAAAGCCUGACGGAGCAACGCCGCGUGAGUGAUGAAGGUCUUCGGAUCGUAAAACUCUGUUAUUAGGGAAGAACAUAUGUGUAAGUAACUGUGCACAUCUUGACGGUACCUAAUCAGAAAGCCACGGCUAACUACGUG
rnacentral:rRNA from 1 species